rnacentral:lncRNA from 1 species
GAUAAGUUAUUGUAUAUCUUAUGCAUUAAGCCAAUACUUAUGUAAAGAAUGCAAAAUUUUUUAGUUUCGUGAAAUUUGUAGAAAGAAACAAACUUGGAAUUAAUUGGUAAUCAAUGUCAAAUGAUAUAUGCUGGUAGUAGAAGCACAACAAAUAGCAACAUCUUAUGAUACAUAAUAAUAGAAGACAUUGUAAUAAGGCAACAAUAUGCUUAAAUGAAUUGUGAGAUCACAAGAACAAGAAUAGUGAUGGAGGCCAUGUUCAAUGUUAGGCAAUUAUACAUGGUUACUAACAAAGAUGUA